UACGUAGGGGGCUAGCGUUGUCCGGAAUCAUUGGGCGUAAAGAGCGCGUAGGCGGCCAGAUAAGUCCGGUGUGAAAGUCAAAGGCUCAACCUUUGAAUGCCGCUGGAAACUGUCUGGCUAGAGUCCGGGAGGGGCGAGUGGAAUUCCUGGUGUAGCGAUGAAAUGCGCAGAUAUCAGGAGGAACACCAAUGGCGAAGGCAGCUCGCUGGAACGGUACUGACGCUGAGGCGCGAAAGCGUGGGGAGCGAACAGG
rnacentral:rRNA from 1 species